rnacentral:tRNA from 1 species
CCACUGGUAGCUCAGUCUGGUAGAGCCCCGUCGAAAGGCGGUUGUCGCAGGUUCGAUUCCUGCCCACGGUCGCA